UGCUUGCACUGAUUUCAACAUUGGAACGAGUGGCGAACUGGUGAGUAACACGUGGAAAACCUGCCCAGAAGCAGGGGAUAACACUUGGAAACAGGUGCUAAUACCGUAUAACAACAAAAACCGCAUGGUUUUUGUUUGAAAGGUGGCUUCGGCUAUCACUUCUGGAUGGUUCCGCGGCGCAUUAGCUAGUUGGUGAGGUAAAGGCCCACCAAGGCAAUGAUGCGUAGCCGACCUGAGAGGGUAAUCGGCCACAUUGGGACUGAGACACGGCCCAGACUCCUACGGGAGGCAGCAGUAGGGAAUCUUCCACAAUGGACGAAAGUCUGAUGGAGCAAUGCCGCGUGAGUGAAGAAGGGUUUCGGCUCGUAAAACUCUGUUGUUGAAGAAGAACGGGUGUCAGAGUAACUGUUGACAUCGUGACGGUAUUCAACCAGAAAGCCACGGCUAACUACGUGCCAGCAGCCGCGGUAAUACGUAGGUGGCAAGCGUUGUCCGGAUUU
rnacentral:rRNA from 1 species